rnacentral:rRNA from 1 species
CUACACGACCGUACCGCAAACCGACACUGGUGCGCGAGAUGAGUAUUCUAAGGCGCUUGAGAGAACUCAGGAGAAGGAACUCGGCAAAUUGACACCGUAACUUCGGAAGAAGGUGUGCCUUUAGUAGGUGAACCUGUACAAGGGGAGCCCAAUGAGGUUGCAAAAAAUCGGUGGCUGCGACUGUUUAAUAAAAACACAGCACUCUGCAAACACGAAAGUGGACGUAUAGGGUGUGACGCCUGCCCGGUGCUGGAAGAUUAAAUGAUGGGGUGCAAGCUCUUGAUUGAAGUCCCAGUAAACGGCGGCCGUAACUAUAACGGUCCUAAGGUAGCGAAAUUCCUUGUCGGGUAAGUUCCGACCUGCACGAAUGGCGUAACGAUGGCCACACUGUCUCCUCCUGAGACUCAGCGAAGUUGAAAUGUUUGUGAUGAUGCAAUCUCCCCGCGGAAAGACGGAAAGACCCCAUGAACCUUUACUGUAGCUUUGUAUUGGACUUUGAACAGAUCUGUGUAGGAUAGGUGGGAGGCUUUGAAGUGUGGUCGCUAGAUCGCAUGGAGCCAACGUUGAAAUACCACCCUGGUGUGUUUGAGGUUCUAACCUAGGCCCGUAAUCCGGGUCGGGGACAGUGCAUGGUAGGCAGUUUGACUGGGGCGGUCUCCUCCCAAAGCGUAACGGAGGAGUUCGAAGGUACGCUAGGUACGGUCGGACAUCGUGCUAAUAGUGCAAUGGCAUAAGCGUGCUUAACUGCGAGACUGACAAGUCGAGCAGAUGCGAAAGCAGGACAUAGUGAUCCGGUGGUUCUGUAUGGAAGGGCCAUCGCUCAACGGAUAAAAGGUACUCUGGGGAUAACAGGCUGAUACCGCCCAAGAGUUCAUAUCGACGGCGGUGUUUGGCACCUCGAUGUCGGCUCAUCUCAUCCUGGGGCUGUAGCCGGUCCCAAGGGUAUGGCUGUUCGCCAUUUAAAGAGGUACGUGAGCUGGGUUUAAAACGUCGUGAGACAGUUUGGUCCCUAUCUUCCGUGGGCGCUGCAGAUUUGAGGAAGCCUGCUCCUAGUACGAGAGGACCGGAGUGGACACACCUCUGGUGUAUCGGUUGUCACGCCAGUGGCAUUGCCGAGUAGCUAUGUGUGGAAGAGAUAACCGCUGAAAGCAUCUAAGCGGGAAACUCGUUUCAAGAUGAGAUCUGCCGGGGCCUUGAGCCCCCUAAAGAGUCGUUCAAGACCAGGACGUUGAUAGGUCGGGUGUGGAAGCGCAGUAAUGCGUUAAGCUAACCGAUACUAAUUGCUCGUGCGGCUUGACC